GGACUACAGGGGUAUCUAAUCCUGUUUGCUCCCCUAGCUUUCGCAGAUCAGAGUCAGUGACGGUCCAGUAGCCUGCUUUCGCCAUAGGUAUUCCUCCCGAUAUCUACGCAUUUCACCGCUACACCGGGAAUUCCAGCUACCUCUACCGCACUCUAGCCUAGCAGUUUCCGUUGACCUCUCCCAGUUAAGCCGGGAGCUUUCACAACAGACUUACUAAACCUCCUACCUGCGCUUUACGCCUAGUGAUUCCGAGUAACGCUUGCCACCUACGUAUUACCGCGGCUGCUGGCAC
rnacentral:rRNA from 1 species